GCCUGCUGAGAUAGAGGGUUUGGCUAUGCUCACACGGCAAUGUCCGCGUUAGGACCGCUCAGGAAUGCGCCGUCUCAUAGACAGCAGUGCAUUCCGUGCAGAGUCCGCAGAAAGAAUAGACAUUACUCCAGAAUUUUGAAUUAGUGACAUGUGAACAUAGUCUAAGGGUGCACAGACUUCUACAGCAGGAAGUACAAAUGACCUUGUUACUAGUGAGACUACAUCCACUGAUUUCACUACCAUUACAACAUUGGUUGAAACAUCAAUGGCAUCCACUGCAAGUACUGAAACAGAUACAUCUGUAAUGUCCAUUACAACUCCUAGUGAAUUUACCAGUACAGUAUCCACCGGUCAAGAAACAACAUCAACUGCAGCUUUAACUACUUCUGAGGGGACAAGUACCAGUGAUGAAACAACACAAACGUCUCAAACAAGUACUUUAUCUCUUAC